rnacentral:rRNA from 1 species
UACGUAGGGGACCAGCGUUGUCCGGAUUUACUGGGCGUAAAGAGCGCGCAGGCGGUCGUUCAAGUCGAGUGUGAAAGCCCCCGGCUCAACUGGGGAGGGUCACUUGAUACUGAUCGACUCGAAGGCAGGAGAGGGAAGCGGAAUUCCCGGUGUAGUGGUGAAAUGCGUAGAUAUCGGGAGGAACACCAGUGGCGAAGGCGGCUUCCUGGCCUGUUCUUGACGCUGAGGCGCGAAAGCUAGGGGAGCAAACGGG